GGGGUUAGCGUCUAUACUGCAGUCGAGCGAGCAGAACCAGCAGAUUUACUUCGGUAAUGACGCUGGGGACGCGAGCGGCGGAUGGGUGAGUAACACGUGGGGAACCUGCCCCAUAGUCUGGGAUACCACUUGGAAACAGGUGCUAAUACCGGAUAAGAAAGCAGAUCGCAUGAUCAGCUUAUAAAAGGCGGCGUAAGCUGUCGCUAUGGGAUGGCCCCGCGGUGCAUUAGCUAGUUGGUAAGGUAACGGCUUACCAAGGCAAUGAUGCAUAGCCGAGUUGAGAGACUGAUCGGCCACAUUGGGACUGAGACACGGCCCAAACUCCUACGGGAGGCAGCAGUAGGGAAUCUUCCACAAUGGACGCAAGUCUGAUGGAGCAACGCCGCGUGAGUGAAGAAGGUUUUCGGAUCGUAAAGCUCUGUUGUUGGUGAAGAAGGAUAAAGGUAGUAACUGGCCUUUAUUUGACGGUAAUCAACCAGAAAGUCACGGCUAACUACGUGCCAGCAGCCGCGGUAAUACGUAGGUGGCAAGCGUUGUCCGGAUUUAUUGGGCGUAAAGCGAGCGCAGGCGGAAGAAUAAGUCUGAUGUGAAAGCCCUCGGCUUAACCGAGGAACUGCAUCGGAAACUGUUUUUCUUGAGUGCAGAAGAGGAGAGUGGAACUCCAUGUGUAGCGGUGGAAUGCGUAGAUAUAUGGAAGAACACCAGUGGCGAAGGCGACUCUCUGGUCUGCAACUGACGCUGAGGCUCGAAAGCAUGGGUAGCGAACAGGAUUAGAUACCCUGGUAGUCCAUGCCGUAAACGAUGAGUGCUAAGUGUUGGGAGGUUUCCGCCUCUCAGUGCUGCAGCUAACGCAUUAAGCACUCCGCCUGGGGAGUACGACCGCAAGGUUGAAACUCAAAGGAAUUGACGGGGGGCCCGCACAAGCGGUGGAGCAUGUGGGUUUAAUUCGAAGCAACGCGAAGAAACCUGUACCAGGUCUUGACAUCUAGUGCCAUCCUAAGAGAUUAGGAGUUUCCCUUCGGGGACGCUAAGACAGGUGGUGCAUGGCUGUCGUCAGCUCGUGUCGUGAGAUGUUGGUUUAAGUCCCGGCACGAGCGCAAACCCGUUGCUUAUUAGCUGACUAGGCAUUUAGGUUGGCACCUGCUGAAUGAGACCUGACUGAUGAUUAACUGCGGAAAGGUUGGGGAAUUGAAACCGCUCA
rnacentral:rRNA from 1 species